rnacentral:tRNA from 1 species
AUCUUUUUAGUAUAACCUCAGUAUGUGUGGCUUCCAACCUCAAGAUCCUGGUUAAAUCCCAGGAAAAGAUA